UCUCGCUUUGUAAAGGAUUGGGGGUAUGAGAGGUGCUUUUCACGCGCGCUGGCUGGGGACGUGCAAAUGUGUGAGUGUGAUGCAGUCACGGUGCCAAGCGCGAUGCGGUGGAUGAAGAAGAGCGAGGAUGAGCAGCGGAGGAAGCAACCGGGCGCUGUGACUAGAAAAAUAAGAACCAAGCAGCGUGUCGUGAGUGAGUGCUUGAGUCUUUUCUUGUUUUUUAUAGCCAGUAAUCAUGCUGAUUCCUGGCGAGAUAUCGCGCUACUUGGUGGACGGAAGAAAAAAAAACAGUUGACUUCGUAACAUGCGCGAGUUGGAUUUUUUUCCCGUUUUCAAUCGAGAGGAAGAGUGAGCAUCGUCCUGUGCGGAUUGAAAGCGGGGGUGCCGUUCGGUGGCACAGCUAGAUGACAAAUACAGUGCCAAACCGGGUGCCAGUUCAUCAUCAGAAGUCCUUGCGAAACGAAUCGUGCGGGAGAGCCGCCCGUGGACUGUGUGUGCGCUGGAAAGGGCUGGAAGGAGAAGAAGAGGCAGAGCGCGAACGGCGCUAAGGAGGCAAAAUUAGUGACAAUUAUGGAGUUCAGCGGACAAAAAGUGACAAAUUCCGCGAGGGCCUCGACAGAAGUGGCGCCACUUGCAACGCGCGUUGGGCAACUGUCGCCAUCCGGUGGAGAAAGCCGCAAACUCGCCUCGCCUUCGACAGCAAGAACAAGUAGAAGAAGCAGCAGACGAGCUGUCUUAUCUGCAGAACGAUUGGUCGGUUGGGCGGCUACGAUAAGACAGCUGUGCGGUCCGCGUCAAGUGAAAGCGAAUCCUAUCUGGGCAGCCGUCAAAUGUGGUUGUCUCGAUAUGAUUCAUAUGGGACGCUUCGUCCAGAUAUCGGCGACUCCGCGAACUCUCUAACGGCGGGCACGUGUGAGUGGUUUUCCAGUGAAAUGAUGUUGAUAACACAGACCGCGGUGGCUACCGACGACGAGACUUCCUGAUAAGAGCGGCUCCGUAAGACUCUGUUCUGACAAGUGAAUGACUUGUUAAAGUGACAACAAAACAUCGUCGGGCGGCUUGCGGAGGCUACAGCGAAGCAAAAGACAUUCGCACCGGGUGGACGGUUUCUGGUUGGAGCUUGGAUCGCGUGCACUUGGAUCACCAGCACACACUUGGUGUCGGAAAUGGCUAGAAAGAGAGCGCCGAGUCGACCCCCGGAACCCCUCGGAGAACUGGACUGAGUGUGGUGGAGCCUUUCGUGCAGUCAACGUCGUUUUUGCUCUGGCAGUUGCUCGGUGGAGCGCAGCAAGUGUGGAUCGUGGAACAGAACCACCAUCAAGAACUAUAUAUCUAUUACUAGCCUACUGUGCCUGGUUACAACACACGAAACUGGUGUGCAAAACGUCACAUUCGCUGUCGUCGCUCCUGAAAGUAUACCACGGUGGAAAAAGUGAAAAAUAAGCAAACUAAAACGAAAAUCAGUGUGCAUCGGAAGGCUUGGCGAAACGCUAGCCUGAAUUAGAAGAAUACAUAAUCGUGAAAUUCGUGAACCCUAGUCGUUUGAUCGUCAUUAACGAGUACGCCAUGGAAAAAAAUCGCGAAUCCGAUUCCUGAGUUAGCGCGCCUCAAAUGACAAUCCUCUGCGUUGAAAUCGAUCAAAGUGAUAUGUGACUGAGUGUGCAGUGAUAAUUACGGUGUACACCCCGGCCUACUGGGAUUAUCCAAAGUGAGGUGUUCCAGUCUCAAUCAUGGACAACUCAAAAUCCAGCGCAAUGUGAUUCAUCGAACAACUUCCAUCCACGAAUCCCCCAUCAACUUCGGCUCACAAACCCUCGACUCCAAAAAGAUCGGAUAAUGGCCGUCUAUUGUCAAACAGGUGCAACACGUGCGGUGAUCUCAUGUUUCGCAAGCUGACAUCUGGCGGCCGGGAUGACGGCAGGUUCUCCCUCCAUGCACGCUGCCCUUAACCCUCCCACGCCACACAGGGCGGUAAUUGACUUCGAAAGCGUUCAAAUUCUCACUUUCGCACUCGUUGUCCGGAACUGCGGGCUCUGGAACGACGCGAGCCCUUACCCACCGUUACAAAUUAAGUCAUAAAGGGCAAUAAAAGCAAAAUUUAUGAUCCUCCACGCUUGCCCGCGCGUUGAUGGCCGUUCGAACCUGGGGGCCCGAAAUCGAUUCUUGCCGGUUAUUGCCACGCCGAGUGGGCCCUUUCCUCCUUUUCCCCGAAUGUGCAGAGUCGUAAAUAAAAUCGGUCCCGGUGCCGAUGACUACGGACUCACUCUGUUUCUCUCUCUAUUACGGGCGCGCACGAGCUUGGACAGCAACGAAAAAAUCUUUGCGAAAACUAAGCCCAAAUGGUCCACAAACGCAGCUCGUGCGAGACUUUCCGAGUCGGUGAUGACUUAAUAUACCCGGUGCGAUGGACGACAACUUGGCGAAGAGAGUGACAUCCAGUCCUUCCAGUUAUAACCUGCGUAAAA